rnacentral:lncRNA from 1 species
GUCCCGAUCUCGUUAAAAUACCAAAAAGUGACCGAAGCAAGUACGAUGAAUAACGAAGUCUAUACGAUGGUGUCGAAAUUAUAUACGAUAGCAAAAGAUGGAUAUACGAAGGUUAACCGAAGACGGGUAUUUAAGCUUCAUAUCUUAGCCGAAGCCUACACGAUGGAUCACGAAGGCUACACGAUGGAUUACGAAGGCUACACGAUGGAUUACGAUGAUGGCGCGAUGGCCAUACGAUGUCUAAAAGAUACUAACAGAAUU